GGAGCCGAAGGGAAACCAAGUCUUAAUAGGGCGAUUAAGUCUGGAUGUGUAGACCCGAAACCGGGUGAUCUAUCCAUGUCCAGGUUGAAGUUCGCGUAAAAGUGAAUGGAGGACCGAACGCACAUCCGUUGAAAAGGGUGGCGAUGAGGUGUGGAUAGCGGAGAAAUUCCAAUCGAACCCGGAGAUAGCUGGUUCUCCUCGAAAUAGCUUUAGGGCUAGCCUCGACUUAGUCAGACGGAGGUAGAGCACUGAAUUCCUGAGGGGGCGUCAAAGCCUACCAAGGGAUAUCAAACUGCGAAUGCCGCACUGAUGAUGGUCGGGAGUCAGACUGUACGAGAUAAGUUGGACAGUCAAAAGGGAAAGAGCCCAGACCUACAGCUAAGGUCCCAAAAUACGUGUUAAGUGGAAAAGGAUGUGGGAUUUCGAAGACAGCUAGGAUGUUGGCUUAGAAGCAGCCACACAUUCAAAGAGUGCGUAAUAGCUCACUAGUCGAGAGGUCCUGCGCCGAAAAUUUCCGGGGCUAAAACACGAUACCGAAGCUUAGGAAUGUAGCAAUACAUUGGUAGAGGAGCAAUCUCAGAGUGCCGAAGCGUUACCGUAAGGAAGCGUGGAGUUCUGAGAAGAGAGAAUGCCGGAAUGAGUAGCGAGAAUGAUGUGAGAAUCAUCAUGGCCGAAUAUCCAAGGAUUCCAGGGUAAAGCUGAUCUGCCCUGGGUAAGUCGGGACCUAAGGCGAGGGAGAAAUCCGUAGUCGAUGGACAGCAGGUUCAUAUUCCUGCACCUGACAUGAUCAGAACUGUGGGGACACAGGAACAAAACCGGACCCGGGAGAGCAAAGACCGGGCGAAGCGAAGCUAGGAGUGCGGUAGGCAAAUCCGCCGCACAAUCCGAAAGCGUGAUAGGGAGCGAAAAAUAAGUAGCGAAGCCGGUGGAGGGACUGUCGAGAAAAGCCGCUAUUGUAUCAUGUCAGCCCGUACCGCAAACCGACACAGGUGGAUGAGGAGAGAAUCCUAAGGCCGGCGGGAGAAGCAUUGUUAAGGAACUCGGCAAAAUGACCCCGUAACUUCGGGAGAAGGGGUGCCCAGGCAACUGGGCCGCAGAGAAAAGGCUCAAGCAACUGUUUAGCAAAAACACAGGUCUAUGCGAAACCGUAAGGUGAGGUAUAUGGGCUGACGCCUGCCCGGUGCUGGAAGGUUAAGAGGAGAGGUUAGCGCAAGCGAAGCUUUGAAUUUAAGCCCCAGUAAACGGCGGCCGUAACUAUAACGGUCCUAAGGUAGCGAAAUUCCUUGUCGGGUAAGUUCCGACCCGCACGAAAGGCGUAAUGAUUUGAGCGCUGUCUCAACAAUGCACCCGGUGAAAUUGAAGUACCAGUGAAGAUGCUGGUGACCUGCGCCAGGACGGAAAGACCCCAUGGAGCUUUACUCCAGCUUGAUACCGGGAUUCGGUGUUACUCGUACAGGAUAGGUGGGAGGCUAAGAAGGAAGGACGCCAGUCUUUCCGGAGCCGCUGUUGGGAUACCACCCCUGUGGCACUGGAUUUCUAACCUACAUCCGUAAUCCGGAUGGGGGACAAUGUCAGGUGGGGAGUUUGACUGGGGCGGUCGCCUCCGAAAGAGUAUCGGAGGCGCUCAAAGGUUCCCUCAGAAUGGUUGGAAACCAUUCGAAGAGCGCAAAGGCAGAAGGGAGCUUGACUGCGACACCGACGGGUGGAGCAGGUACGAAAGUAGGACUUAGUGAUCCGGUGGUAUAAAGUGGGAUUGCCAUCGCUCAACGGAUAAAAGCUACCCUGGGGAUAACAGGCUUAUCACUCCCAAGAGUUCACAUCGACGGAGUGGUUUGGCACCUCGAUGUCGGCUCAUCGCAUCCUGGGGCUGAAGUCGGUCCCAAG
rnacentral:rRNA from 1 species